rnacentral:rRNA from 1 species
UCCAGACUCCUACGGGAGGCAGCAGUGGGGGAUAUUGCACAAUGGGGGAAACCCUGAUGCAGCGACGCCGCGUGAGUGAAGAAGUAUUUCGUUACGUAAAGCUCUAUCAGCAGGGAAGAAAAUGACGGUACCUGACUAAGAAGCCCCGGCUAACUACGUGCCAGCAGCCGCGGUAAUACGUAGGGGGCAAGCGUUAUCCGGAAUUACUGGGUGUAAAGGGAGCGCAGACGGCAGUGCAAGUCUGGAGUGAAAGCCCGUGGCUCAACCACGGGACUGCUCUGGAAACUGUGCAGCUAGAGUGCAGGAGAGGCAGGCGGAAUUCCUGGUGUAGCGGUGAAAUGCGUAGAUAUCUGGAGGAACAUCAGUGGCGAAGGCGACUAUCUGGCACAUAACUGACGCUGAGGAGCGAAAGCGUGGGUAGCAAACAGGAUUAGAUACCCCCGUAA